rnacentral:lncRNA from 1 species
GGAAAAAUUACCGUCUUUACAUGGAGAUGUACUUACUUUUAUUUACCUGCCUAUCUUAUCUGUCACUGUGUGAAUGUCUAAUGAACUCAAAUGGAAUAUUCGCCGAUGUCCUGACUUUUCUCCUCUCACGCACGCGGUGAUUGCGGGGAAACUGACUACGCUCCCCCUAGACUGUGUCGCCUUUGAGACGUGUGGCGGCAGCCAAGUCCGGCCUCGCUGGGCGCGGCCCCUUCACUUGGGAAAGGCACUCCUCUCCGAGGGGGCCCCGCCGGCGGUUACCGUGGCCUCGGACGCCUGCACCGGCCUCGCCGCCCGGAACUUUCUCCCGUUGCCUGUUUGCUGGACCAUUUCUCAGUGA